rnacentral:rRNA from 1 species
CCUAUGGGUGGCAGCAGUAGGGAAUCUUUCACAAUGGGCGAAAUCCUGAUGGAGCAACGCCGCGUGCAGGAUGAAGGCCUUCGGGUUGUAAACUGCUUUUAUAAGCGAGAAAUAUGAUGGUAACUUAUGAAUAAGGAUCGGCUAACUACGUGCCAGCAGCCGCGGUCAUACGUAGGAUCCGAGCAUUAUCCGGAGUGACUGGGUGUAAAGAGUUGCGUAGGUGGCAUAAUAAGUAGCUAGUGAAAUCUGGUGGCUCAACCAUUCAGACUAUUAGCUAAACUGUUAAGCUCGAGACCGUUAGGGGUAACUGGAAUUUCUAGUGUAGGAGUGAAAUCCGUAGAUAUUAGAAGGAACACCAAUAGCGUAGGCAGGUUGCUGGGACGGUUCUGACACUAAGGCACGAAAGCGUAGGGAGCAAACGGGAUUAGAUACCCGGGUAGUC